CCUACGGGUGGGCAGCAGUGAGGAAUAUUGGUCAAUGGGCGGAAGCCUGAACCAGCCAAGUAGCGUGCAGGAUGACGGCCCUACGGGUUGUAAACUGCUUUUAUACGGGAAUAACCCGCCUUACGUGUCGGUCUUUGCAUGUACCGUAUGAAUAAGGACCGGCUAAUUCCGUGCCAGCAGCCGCGGUAAGACGGAAGGUCCGGGCGUUAUCCGGAUUUAUUGGGUUUAAAGGGAGCGUAGGCCGCAUGUCAAGCGUGCUGUGAAAUGUCCGGGCUCAACCCGGGCCUUGCAGCGCGAACUGGCGGGCUUGAGUCCGCGGAAAGCAGGCGGAAUUCGUCGUGUAGCGGUGAAAUGCUUAGAUAUGACGAAGAACCCCGAUUGCGAAGGCAGCUUGAUGCAGCGGAACUGACGCUGAUGCUCGAAAGCGCGGGUAUCGAACAGGAUUAGAUACCCUUGUAGUC
rnacentral:rRNA from 1 species